rnacentral:tRNA from 1 species
GCCUUCGUGGUGUAGUGGUCAAGUACGCUCGGCCGGUAUUCUAGAGGUCCGUGGUUCGAGUCCCGGCGAGGGCA